UCACACCGGUUUAAACUCAGAUCAUGUAAAAUUUUAAAGGUCGAACAGACCUAAAUUUUUAGCUGCUACACCAAAACUUAAUUUUAAUCCAACAUCGAGGUCGCAAUCUUUUUCUUCAAUUUGAACUCUCUGAAAAUAUUACGCUGUUAUCCCUAAGGUAAUUUAAUCUUAUAAUCAUAAAAAAUGGAUCAAAUAUUCAUAUAUCAAUGAAAAUAAUAAAAAAAAGUUCAUUUAAUUUUUCAAUCACCCCAAUUAAAUAAAUAAUUAAAUUAAAAAUUUUUAUACUAAUAAUUUUAAAAAUCAAUCACUUAUUAAACUCUAUAGGGUCUUCUCGUCUUUUAAAUCUUAUUUAAGCUUUUUUACUAAAAUAUAAAUUUCUAAUAAAUUUAAAUAGAGACAGAUCUUUUCUCAUCCAACCAUUCAUUCCAGCUUCUAAUUAAGAAACUAAUGAUUAUGCUACCUUAGCACGGUCAAAUUACCGCGGCCAUUUAAUAACUCAGUGGGCAGGCCAAACCUAAAAUAAUAUUCAAUAGGCCAUGUUUUUAAUAAACAGGUGAAAAAAUUAUUUGCCGAAUUCCUUUAUUUAACCUAAAAAUUUUAAUUAAAAUUACAUAUAAUUAUACUAAUUUUAUCAUUAUUUCUUAAUUUCUAAAAUUAAAAUAAAUAUUUUAAUAAAAAAUUUAUAAAUAUUAAAAAUUAUAUCCUAAAUCAUAUUAAUUAUAACAUUUUUUUAUUGAUAAAAACUUCUAAUUCUACAAUUAUGAAAAAUUUAAUAUCUAAUAAAUAUAUAUUUUCAAGCUUAUCCCUAAAAAUAUUUAAUAUUUAAACUAAAAAAUUAAAAAAUUAAAAUUUUAGUAAAUAAUAUUAUAAAUUAAAUUUUUUUCUUAAAAAACUAGAUAUAUUUAAAAACGAAUAACGUUUCGCUACCAAAAAUUUAUUAAUAAUAGUUAUUCUACAAUAAUAAUAAUAAAUUCUUAACUCUUUUAAAUUCGAGAAAAUAAAAUAAAUUUAUUUUUUUAAUAAACCCUGAUACACAAGGUACAAAAAAUUAAUUUUUCUUACUAAAAAAUAUAAACUUUCUUUUACAAUACUAUUUAACUAUAAUUAAAAUAAUUUUUUCUUGUUAUUUAAUAAAACUUUAAUAUUUUUAUUUUAAAAAAAAUUAAACUAAAAUUAUUAAUAAAUUUUAAAUU
rnacentral:rRNA from 1 species